UGAUAGUCACAAGUCUGAGUGUAUUGAGAAAGUUUAAACUAAUACCAAUGACUCGAACAUUCAUACAGUCCAACCACUAGUUCAUCUAUAAUUAACAGAACAUUUAUACAAUCCAACUAGGCAUAAGGAACACACCUAAAGCAAAAUCAAAUGAUAUUAAACAAUUAUUGACUACUUUUGCUAAAAUAAUCGAACAUAUAAACUUCUGAUGGCAAAUGGAAGGCCAAUUCUAUUUCAAUAUCCCAAUUUCCAAGCUGGGCCAAUACAAUGAUCGAGUGUGUGCCUGAGAAUGGAGUUUCAACAGAGGAAAUGAAGGUCAGCAGCGGCAGUGACAAUACCAAACCAACAAAUAUGCAAUGCACAACCCCAGAGAUGUAAGUUUCAACCCAGAGUAGUUUGAAAUCAAACAAAAAGGAAAGAGCAAUACUCAAAUCAAUCUCAAAACCAGACCAAAAUCUCUAACAAUUAACCAGCAGAUGUCUACCAAUUUUCAGUCAACAUUCGAAAUCCAAUCCAACUGGAUAAAACCAUUCAAAUCAGUAGUGGUAGCUAACAGACUUGGAACUUAAGAAUUACUGGAAAUAGGCUAGUGGCAGGGAACUGUUUUUGAGUCCAAAAAUGGCUGAUAAAAGAAGACCCUUCCUCAAGGCACUUGAUGCCCUUUUUAUAGGUGACACAAGAAGGUGAAUCAGAUUUUAGGUUUCUCUUUUAGCCCCUCCCUUAUUACAGUUUGGUCCCUUUAUUUUGACUUGCUCAACAAGUAAAUACCUCUAUUAUGCUAAUAUCUACACUAAAGUACCCUUCUAGAAGGCCCUAGGAUGCUCUUCUACCCACCAAAAUACCUAUACUACCCUUACCCCUACUUUGAAAUUACUAUUCCUAAAGAAACUGCCCCUUUCUAUGCCUAAAAUGCCCUUCCAAUAGUCUGAAAACUACAGACUAAGGAACUGAUCCCAAUCCCCUCACCCUAGCUAAACUUAACUAAAGUUAAUUAACAAAUGACUUACUCAGCUAUAUCCAAUACACAUAUUUUAAACACUACACCAAUUAACACUAAAAUUGAAUGAUCAACUAAUACUAACUGAAAUCAAUCCCGAUCAAAACCCGCUUAACCAAUGACCAAGUUUCAACAAAACACAUUAACACUGACUUACCAUUAGCAAACUAAAGUGAAGAAAAUUAUUCUGAUUAUACUUAAACUAAUCAAAACCUAAACUAACUUCUUGAAUCGAAACAGAGUAAACUAAUAUGCCAAGAACAAAAUAAACUAGACUCAAGCCAUAAAUCAAAACAUGGAAUCCAGAUGGAGUUGACAAAAACUUUGGACACUAGCCAGUAUUAGAAUAGAAGCAAACAGAAGAGAGGAAAACGAGAGCUCACUGAUGCCAAGAGAAACGCUGGCCAGCCAUCGACGUCCGAAUCUUUUAGGAUUUUUGACACGUAACAUCCCUAACCAUGUGUUUUUCUACAAGAGAACGCAUGGUUAACGAUAUUAC
rnacentral:lncRNA from 1 species